rnacentral:rRNA from 1 species
UUACUGUAGCUUGAUAUUGAAUGUUUGUGCUGCAUGUGCAGGAUAGGUAGGAGACUUUGAAGUCGGAACGCUAGUUUCGAUUGAGUCACCCUUGAGAUACUACCUCUGUUGUAUGAACGUUCUAACUCUGAUCAGUUAUCCUGAUCGAAGACAGUGUCUGGCAGGCAGUUUGACUGGGGCGGUCGCCUCCUAAAAGAUAACGGAGGCGCUCAAAGGUUUGCUCAGAAUGGUUGGAAAUCAUUCGUAGCGUGUAAAGGCAUAAGCAAGCUUGACUGUGAGACUGACAAGUCGAGCAGGUACGAAAGUAGGACUUAGUGAUCCGGUGGUUCCGUAUGGAAGGGCCAUCGCUCAACGGACAAAAGCUACCCCGGGGAUAACAGGCUCAUCUCCCCCAAGAGUCCACAUCGACGGGGAGGUUUGGCACCUCGAUGUCGGCUCAUCGCAUCCUGGGGCUGUAGUCGGUCCCAAGGGUUGGGCUGUUCGCCCAUUAAAGCGGUACGCGAGCUGGGUUCAGAACGUCGUGAGACAGUUCGGUCCCUAUCCGUCGUGGGCGCAGGAAAUUUGAGAGGAUCUGUCCUUAGUACGAGAGGACCGGGAUGGACAUACCUCUGGUGUACCAGUUGUUCUGCCAAGAGCACCGCUGGGUAGCUACGUAUGGAUUAGAUAAUCGCUGAAAGCAUCUAAGUGAGAAACUAACCUCGAGAUGAGAUUUCCCAUUCGUCAGAAGUAAGACCCCUGAGAGACGAUCAGGUAGAUAGGCUAGAAGUGGAAGUGUAGUGAUGCAUGGAGCGGACUAGUACUAAUAGGU